UGUUGUGUAAGCCUGAUUAUUUUAAUUGGAUCCUUAGUGGAAGAACCAAGUCCAACAAUUGUUCUUUGACUUCCACACAGGAGCUGUGGCGUGCACAUACCUACACUGCCUCUACUCACUAAUAAUAAAUCUAAAAUUUUAAAAGAGAGAAUAAAUAUUAAAAGCUGGUCCUUAUUAUAUACAAUCCACAUGUCCUUUAUUUGCAUAGUUUUUUCAACCUUCAUAAAAGCUUUGAAGGUAGGAAGUAUUGUUAGUUGUGUUUGGGAGACAAAGGGCCAGAGGCUUUGGGGCGUUAUAGCAGUGAUCCACAGGGCGUACCUGCAUGUCUGUUUCUUGUCCUCAGGUGGGACCAAACCUACAUUCAUCAUCUUCUGCCCUGUUUUACAAAGGAUUUGGGGAACGUUUGGAUCUGAUCUAGAAAAAUACUUUUCUGACCUCUGGGCCUGACCACUGGGACCACUGUGAGGAGAGGAAGCACCUCCCAGAUCCAAUGAAAUGUCAGCAUGCUCCUGGUCCACACUGCUGAUCAGUGCAGUAGGUCAGCACCAGAGCUCAGGACACCGAGGUUCACACCCACUGCUUUACAGGAUGGGGACAAGUGGGUGCUACUGACCUCUUUUCUGGUCAUGCCUUCACCACCCCCAACUCCUGCCUCUUGCCUCCCCAACCCAGUCUCCUAGAUACUCGUGUGUGUGUGUGUGUGUGUGUGUGUGUGUGUGUGUGUGUGUGUGUGUGUGUGUGUGUGUGUGUGUUCUAGUUUGCUUUUUCUUGCUGUGAUUAAACUAC
rnacentral:lncRNA from 1 species